UGGGGAAUUUUGCGCAAUGGGCGAAAGCCUGACGCAGCAACGCCGCGUGCGGGAUGAAGGCCUUCGGGUUGUAAACCGCUUUCAGCAGGGAUGAAAUUGACAGUACCUGCAGAAGAAGCCCCGGCUAACUACGUGCCAGCAGCCGCGGUAAUACGUAGGGGGCAAGCGUUAUCCGGAUUCAUUGGGCGUAAAGAGCGCGUAGGCGGAUUGUUAAGUCAGAUGUGAAAACUGGGGGCUCAACCCGCAGCCUGCAUCUGAAACUGGCAGUCUUGAGUCUGGUAGAGGAGUGUGGAAUUCCCAGUGUAGCGGUGAAAUACGCAGAUAUUGGGAGGAACACCAGUGGCGAAGGCGGCACUCUGGGCCACGACUGACGCUGAGGCGCGAAAGCUAGGGGAGCAAACA
rnacentral:rRNA from 1 species